rnacentral:misc_RNA from 1 species
CGGUAGAUGACCAGCACCAGGAUGGCGCCGACGGUCGCCAUGAUGAAGCCGGCAGGUUCACCGGGCUCGUACCAGCCCAGCGCGCGCCCGAGGAAGCCCGCCACGAGCGCACCGACGACACCGAGCAGCAUCGUGACCACGAUGCCUCCCGGAUCCCUGCCCGGCAUCACCAACUUCGCGAGCGCCCCGACGAUCAACCCGAAGAUCAUCCAGCCCAGAAUGCUCAGCAUGCGGUCACUCCUUUUGAGGAACGGACGGACGAAGAUUACUGCAUCUGCGGUCCGCCGCGGGCGCAAACCGCUGGAGUCCUUGAAACGGCCGGCCCGGGCCACCAUAAUCGGCGCCACACGUCCCGCGAUCCCUACCAUCAACUCCGUUCUGACCGCUCAUGCGACUCACAGCCCUCGUUGUCUCCGUUGCGCUCGCCGGGGUCGUCGGCACUUUCGCCGACACCGCCAGCGUAAGUCUGCCCCGCAGCGCGCCCGAGGCGCAGGGCAUCUCAUCGACCGCCCUCCUGGGCUUCAUCGACGCGGCCGAACAGAAGCUGGAUGCCCUCCACAGCUUCAUGCUGGUGCGUCAUGGCACGGUCGUCGCCGAAGGCUGGUGGGCCCCCUACGCCGCCAGCGAACCGCACAUGAUGUUCUCGUUGAGCAAGAGCUUCACCUCCACCGCGGUCGGCCUCGCCGUCGCAGAUGGGAAGCUCACGGUGGACGAUUCGGUCCUGCAGUUCUUUCCCGACGAGGCACCGGCCGAGCCGGGGGCGCAUCUCAAGGCCCUGCGCGUCCGCGACCUCCUGACGAUGUCCACCGGGCAUCACGACGAGGACCUCC